rnacentral:rRNA from 1 species
ACGCUCGACACCUACGGGGGGCAGCAGUGAGGAAUAUUGGUCAAUGGGCGCUAGCCUGAACCAGCCAAGUAGCGUGAAGGAUGAAGGCUCUAUGGGUCGUAAACUUCUUUUAUAUAAGAAUAAAGUGCAGUAUGUAUACUGUUUUGUAUGUAUUAUAUGAAUAAGGAUCGGCUAACUCCGUGUCAGCAGCCGCGGUAAUCUGAGCGGGCUGGCAAGGC